GUCAACUUGAAGCUCAGAGGCUGCCUGUGUUGGGAAAAAGGGUGUGAAUCUCCAGGGCAAGACAAAGAUUAAGUAAUGGAUGCUUUGAUGUUGUUUCCUUGAAUGCGUCUAUCUCAUGUGUGUUUCUCCCCAAAUAUUUGGUGAUAAUGUGGUUUGGCUGAAGGAGAGAAUGUUUGUUGAACAUUAUGUCAGCAUAAUAUCAGCUUUAGAAUUUCACAGAUAUCUAAGUGUCCUAAGAGACCAACUGGACUGGAUAUCAGACCAAGAUUCUGAUAAAAGGGGAUAACAGAGAUUAACCGGAGCAGAAAAAGUACUUUUCUGAGCCAGAGAUAACAAGAGAAACUUAAAGAAAGUGCUGAAGCAAGAAACUUUAAGCCUGUGAGUAGAGUCUCACUCUGCCACCCAGGUUGAAGUGCUGUGAUGCGAUCAUAGCUCACUGUAGCCUCAAUCUCCCAGGCUCAAGUGAUCCUCCAGCAUCAGCCUUUUGAGUAGCUGGGACUGCAGGAUGAACCUAACCAGUUGGCAGUGCCUCGUACUCUGUGAUGGAUUUUCCGAAGACCAAAUGUACCAUUUUCUUGUCUUUUCAAAGAGAGCCACACAGGAAGGAAAACAAGAAAUUCAACUUUUAAGCUGGGCUAUUCAUGGCCUUUGCUAAAUCCUGGCAGAAUUUCACAGUUCUUCAUUACAAUUCAUCUCACUGAUUUCCUAAUGCAAUGAACUGGCCUUUUCAUUAAGGCCAUAGGGAAUGAAGCUGAGUUACCCAAUCAUUAAGUGUUGUUAUCUGAUGAGUGAAAAAUGGAUUACUUUUCGAUGUGCAUUUGGGGAGCCGUGUGUGUGUGUGUGUGUGUUUCCACUAGAUUCCAUUUUGCGAAAAUUGGUUCAAGUGGAAGGACAGGGUUAAUCUUUCAUGUUCUGUUCUGCUAGAACACUAUAUGGCUUUCUGCUCUGUGAGCAGGCAAAGAAAAAUUGGUGGGCUCAGGAAUCAGAAAUGCAGGGCCAACAGUCCUGUUUCUCACUUUCGAUAAAGGCCAACAUUUUACCUGCUCAAGAACACUCUAUUCCUUUAACCAACGGGAGUGUUAUUUAAUUAGUUCCUUCGUUUUUCAGCUAAAGCAGACACAUGCGCACAUCACACACACAUGCAUGCGCUGUGGUGUUUUUUCUUCUAUCACCCCUCCCUCCACAGAGAUAUCAAUUUGCAUAAGAGGAGAAAAUAAAUUCAUUUAAACCCCAUUCUAAAUUCAGUAUUAGAAAUGUAAUGAUCUCUAACACUGACCUUUUUAAAAUACUUUGUGGAUAAACCAUUGAUUUUAUUUGUUCUAAAUUUACUUUAAAAGACCUGUUUUGUAAAUCACUAAAACACAUGUAUUUUAUUUACCUGUUUGGGAUAAUAUUAAACAUAAUCUUUGAGGGUACUAUUUUGUCUAUUAUAGUUUUAUUCUAUAACAUAGAUUGAACCGUUUUCAUAUCCAAUUCAUUUUCAUUAAAUUUUUAAAUGGUAGUGGUUUAGGCUUGGGAUUAGAUAAUACAUAGCCCAUUUGAUAUAACAUUAAAGCAUCUUUAUUAGAUGUAAAUAAUUUAUCACCCAGGUGUUUAGUUUACAGAGUACUAAAUAUUUACAUAUUUCAUAACAUGUAAAUCAAAUGCUAAAUAAAAAAUUUUAAUUUGCCAUCCUGUUAUUUUAGCAUUAUAUAAACACAUUUGCAAAGAUUUUAAUGUUUUAAUGUGAAUUAAAGGUACAUGUACCUAACCUCUUAUCUUUCUACCAAUCCUAGUAUGCAUAUAUCUGAAAUAGUAGUGUGUGAGGUGUGUGUGUGUAUGUGUGUGUUCAUGUGUGUGACAGAGUGUAUUAUGUUUUUUGAAAUGCAGAGAUUAGGAUAAAGGAAACCAUAAAUGCAAAAUAAAUUAAUUCUCUAGAAUAAUUGUAUGCAGUGGUCUACACAAUUUUGUUAAAUUUGGCUCAUUCAUUUUUUUGUCUCACGUAUAAAUCAAAGUAAAUAGUUAAAACAUGAAGUAUGUUCUUUCCUAAGUUGGAUUGUGGUUUACAAGAUAUUGAAACAACUGAGCAUUAUAAAUAUAGCCAGUCAAUUUGUUGGGGGCUAAGAAAAAAAAAUGAAAGAAAAAAAGAAAAUUGAAGUUGUAUUUUAUCUCCAUGCAGCACUAUACAAAUUCAAAACCAAAUUCAGGAUUUCUGAGCUUGUAAAAUCUGAACAGUAACUCUCUUCAUUUUAGCCUACCUAGAUCUAUAUUUUAAUCAAUGUAAUAUUAGCAACCUGUAUAGAUGACAAUGAGAUGAAGAUGUACAAAAAUGUACCCAACUGUUCCAUUUUGAAGAGUAAUAAUUAAUGAGAACACUUAUAUUUGGGCAAUAGCAAAUGAAAUUAUAAGACUAUGUAAGCGUGACU
rnacentral:lncRNA from 10 species